CAGAGAAUAGUUUAAAUAAAAUAAUAAUUUUGGAGAUUAUUGAUAAGGCUUUCUUUUCUCUGA
rnacentral:tRNA from 1 species